rnacentral:rRNA from 1 species
UACGACUGCUAAUACCCGAUGUGCCGGAAAGGUGAAAAUUUUUUGCCUCAAGAGGAGCUCGCGUCUGAUUAGCUAGUUGGUGGGGUAAAAGCGUACCAAGGCAACGAUCAGUAGCUGGUCUGAGAGGAUGAGCAGCCACACUGGGACUGAGACACGGCCCAGACUCCUACGGGAGGCAGCAGUGGGGAAUUUUCCGCAAUGGGCGAAAGCCUGACGGAGCAAUACCGCGUGAGGGAGGAAGGCCUUUGGGUUGUAAACCUCUUUUCUCAGGGAAGAAGAUCUGACGGUACCUGAGGAAUAAGCAUCGGCUAACUCCGUGCCAGCAGCCGCGGUAAUACGGAGGAUGCAAGCGUUAUCCGGAAUUAUUGGGCGUAAAGCGUCCGCAGGUGGUCUUUCAAGUCUGCUGUCAAAGACCAGAGCUUAACUCUGGGCAGGCGGUGGAAACUGAGAGACUAGAGUUCGGUAGGGGUAGCGGGAAUUCCCAGUGUAGCGGUGAAAUGCGUAGAUAUUGGGAAGAACAUCGGUGGCGAAGGCGCGCUACUGGACCGAAACUGACACUCAGGGACGAAAGCUAGGGUAGCG